rnacentral:misc_RNA from 1 species
GUGAAUCAUCGAAUCUUUGAACGCACAUUGCACCUCUUGGUAUUCCAGGAGGUAUGCCUGUUCGAGCGUCAUAGUGAACCAUCAAGCUUGGCUUGGUAUUGGAUGUCACCUUGUUUGGUGCAUCUCAAAAUUAGUGGCGGUGCCACCAUGGGCUUCGAGCGUAGUAAAUCUCUCGCUCUGGAGGACCAGGUGUUUGUGUCGGCCAGAAACCCCCAAAUUAAUCAAAAGGUUUGACCUCGGAUCAGGUAGGGAUACCCGCUGAACUUAAGCAUAUCAAUAAGCGGAGGA